rnacentral:tRNA from 4 species
GCGGUGUUAGCUCAGCUGGUAGAGCACCGGACUUUUAAUCCGAUGGUCGCGAGUUCGAUCCUCGCACACCGUACCA